rnacentral:rRNA from 1 species
UAUCUGAACCUUCGGGGAACGAUAACGGCGUCGAGCGGCGGACGGGUGAGUAAUGCCUAGGAAAUUGCCCUGAUGUGGGGGAUAACCAUUGGAAACGAUGGCUAAUACCGCAUGAUGCCUACGGGCCAAAGAGGGGGACCUUCGGGCCUCUCGCGUCAGGAUAUGCCUAGGUGGGAUUAGCUAGUUGGUGAGGUAAGGGCUCACCAAGGCGACGAUCCCUAGCUGGUCUGAGAGGAUGAUCAGCCACACUGGAACUGAGACACGGUCCAGACUCCUACGGGAGGCAGCAGUGGGGAAUAUUGCACAAUGGGCGCAAGCCUGAUGCAGCCAUGCCGCGUGUGUGAAGAAGGCCUUCGGGUUGUAAAGCACUUUCAGUCGUGAGGAAGGUAGUGUAGUUAAUAGCUGCAUUAUUUGACGUUAGCGACAGAAGAAGCACCGGCUAACUCCGUGCCAGCAGCCGCGGUAAUACGGAGGGUGCGAGCGUUAAUCGGAAUUACUGGGCGUAAAGCGCAUGCAGGUGGUUUGUUAAGUCAGAUGUGAAAGCCCGGGGCUCAACCUCGGAAUUGCAUUUGAAACUGGCAGACUAGAGUACUGUAGAGGGGGGUAGAAUUUCAGGUGUAGCGGUGAAAUGCGUAGAGAUCUGAAGGAAUACCGGUGGCGAAGGCGGCCCCCUGGACAGAUACUGACACUCAGAUGCGAAAGCGUGGGGAGCAAACAGGAUUAGAUACCCUGGUAGUCCACGCCGUAAACGAUGUCUACUUGGAGGUUGUGGCCUUGAGCCGUGGCUUUCGGAGCUAACGCGUUAAGUAGACCGCCUGGGGAGUACGGUCGCAAGAUUAAAACUCAAAUGAAUUGACGGGGGCCCGCACAAGCGGUGGAGCAUGUGGUUUAAUUCGAUGCAACGCGAAGAACCUUACCUACUCUUGACAUCCAGAGAACUUUCCAGAGAUGGAUUGGUGCCUUCGGGAACUCUGAGACAGGUGCUGCAUGGCUGUCGUCAGCUCGUGUUGUGAAAUGUUGGGUUAAGUCCCGCAACGAGCGCAACCCUUAUCCUUGUUUGCCAGCGAGUAAUGUCGGGAACUCCAGGGAGACUGCCGGUGAUAAACCGGAGGAAGGUGGGGACGACGUCAAGUCAUCAUGGCCCUUACGAGUAGGGCUACACACGUGCUACAAUGGCGCAUACAGAGGGCAGCCAACUUGCGAAAGUGAGCGAAUCCCAAAAAGUGCGUCGUAGUCCGGAUUGGAGUCUGCAACUCGACUCCAUGAAGUCGGAAUCGCUAGUAAUCGUGGAUCAGAAUGCCACGGUGAAUACGUUCCCGGGCCUUGUACACACCGCCCGUCACACCAUGGGAGUGGGCUGCAAAAGAAGUAGGUAGUUUAA